UCGGUCGAGUGGUUACUCUGAUCUGUUUUAGACAUUAGGUCAGGAAACGGGUCGGGGAGGAAAGUCCGGGCACUGCAGAACAGGAUGCCUCCUAACGGGAGGAGGCUCGCUAUGGCGAGUUAUGGAAAGUGCAGCAGAGAAUAGACUGCCCUGAUAUUUUUUAAUGUCGGGGUAAAGGUGAAACGGUGGUGUAAGAGACCACCAGUUCCCGGUGAAAACCGGGAAGCUUGGUAAACCCCAUCCAGUGCAAGACCGAAUAGGCUCUAAAGAUGUUGUUCGCAUCGUUAAUAAGGAGCGGGUAGGUUGCUAGAAUCCGACAGUGAUGCCGGAUCCAGAGGAAUGACCACUGAUUCCCUUAUCCGCCGGCUGGCGGAUCGGGAGGAACAGAACUCGGCUUAUAGACCGGCUC
rnacentral:RNase_P_RNA from 1 species